AUUGAACGCUGGCGGCAUGCCUUACACAUGCAAGUCGAACGGCAGCACGGGAGCAAUCCUGGUGGCGAGUGGCGAACGGGUGAGUAAUAUAUCGGAACGUGCCCAGUCGUGGGGGAUAACGUAGCGAAAGCUACGCUAAUACCGCAUACGAUCUACGGAUGAAAGCGGGGGAUCGCAAGACCUCGCGCGAUUGGAGCGGCCGAUAUCAGAUUAGCUAGUUGGUGGGGUAAAAGCUCACCAAGGCGACGAUCUGUAGCUGGUCUGAGAGGACGACCAGCCACACUGGAACUGAGACACGGGUCCAGACUCCUACGGGAGGCAGCAGUGGGGAAUUUUGGACAAUGGGCGCAAGCCUGAUCCAGCAAUGCCGCGUGCAGGAUGAAGGCCUUCGGGUUGUAAACUGCUUUGUACGGAAGAACGGUGAGCUCUAAUAAAGCUUAGCUAAUGACGGUACCGUAAGAAUAAGCACCGGCUAACUACGUGACC
rnacentral:rRNA from 1 species